GUGGGGAAUUUUGGACAAUGGGGGCAACCCUGAUCCAGCCAUCCCGCGUGUGCGAUGAAGGCCUUCGGGUUGUAAAGCACUUUUGGCAGGGAAGAAACAGCCUGGGAUAAUACCCCGGGCGACUGACGGUACCUGCAGAAUAAGCACCGGCUAACUACGUGCCAGCAGCCGCGGUAAUACGUAGGGUGCAAGCGUUAAUCGGAAUUACUGGGCGUAAAGCGUGCGCAGGCGGUUCGGAAAGAAAGGUGUGAAAUCCCAGGGCUUAACCUUGGAACUGCACUUUUAACUACCGAGCUAGAGUACGUCAGAGGGGGGUAGAAUUCCACGUGUAGCAGUGAAAUGCGUAGAGAUGUGGAGGAAUACCGAUGGCGAAGGCAGCCCCCUGGGAUGAUACUGACGCUCAUGCACGAAAGCGUGGGGAGCAAACAGG
rnacentral:rRNA from 1 species